rnacentral:rRNA from 1 species
UACAGAGGUCUCGAGCGUUAGGCGGAAUCACUGGGCUUAAAGCGUGUGUAGGCGGGUCGUUAAGUGCCUUGUGAGAUCCCAUGGCUCAACCAUGGAACUGCUGGGCAUACUGGCGAUCUUGUGCCACCUAGGGGCGAGCGGAACAGAUGGUGGAGCGGUGAAAUGCGUAGAUAUCAUCUGGAACGCCAAUGGUGAAAACAGCUCGCUGGGGGUGUGCAGACGCUGAGACACGAAAGCCAGGGGAGCGAACGGG